rnacentral:rRNA from 1 species
UACGUAGGGCGCAAGCGUUAUCCGGAAUUAUUGGGCGUAAAGAGCUCGUAGGCGGUUUGUCGCGUCUGCCGUGAAAGUCCGGGGCUCAACUCCGGAUCUGCGGUGGGUACGGGCAGACUAGAGUGAUGUAGGGGAGACUGGAAUUCCUGGUGUAGCGGUGGAAAAUGCGCAGAUAUCGAGGAGGAACACCGAUGGCGAAGGCAGGUCUCGUGGGACGACUGACGCUGAGACGAGAAGCGUGGGGAGCGAACAG